UGAUGCAUUGGAUAAAUAUGUAAUGCCAGGAUGCUGUCAAUUCUGCUUGUAUUUGAUGAGUAUUUUAUCAAAACUUACUGUAUAAUCUAAGGUUGUAAUUUCAGAUGAAAAGAUAAAAAGACGUGGCUGUUUCAAGCAAUAAACUGUUCUUCAGAAAUGUCUUAGUCAUUCUGGAAAGACCAGAGGGUCUGUGUGUGAUAAAUGAUAGUAUCACCUAAGACUGCUGUCCAUUUUUACAAUACUUGGGGGAAGUUAUAAAAUAAAAAAAGAUGAAUAACGUGUGAUUCAUCACUUGGGAAAGCAUUACACGUGCGGUGGAAGUGCUGAUCUAGGGCACGUUUAUAAAGCCAACAGUAGCUAGUGUAAAAUAAAAAUGAACAUUUUGAUUGAUAACGAUAACUAGGCUUUUGCCAUUAAGUUCAAACUCGUGUUAGGGGACUGAAAAGUUUGUGUGCAGUAAAGGCCAGGAAAUUAUCUACUCAAUGACUUUCAGUACAGAAAACAAAGGUGUUCUGUGGUUUCGGAGCAAAAAAGCUUUUGAAAUCAUAAAACAAAAUUACAAGACGUGUAUUUAAACACAACGAUUUCCAUGUCACGCUGCAAAUAAUGCAAUUGAAUCAUAAAUUACGGUUCAAAACAGGACUACUAACAGAUUAAAAGAAAUCUAUCCAUCGAACUAUGAAGAGCUCAGAUGCAAAACUUUCUAAGUACCGUCUGAAAUUUUCUUCUAAAAUAAGCAUUUUUAUCAGGCUCCUAUUUUUAUCUUCCGUUAUUUCACUUUAAUCGCGGUAUAGAAAAGGACUUGUACACUGCCAUUAAAGUCAAAUUACUGAACCUAAACAUUGGUGUCACGGGUCGUGGUGCGGAGGAAGCACGCAGAGAGGAAGUCGUCCACGAGUGAGUCUUCAAUUAACAAAACAAGAACAGAACGUUCUGAACCAGAGGGAGACGACAACCAUGACGUAACUUUAACGCAAGACAAAGGAACUGAGACAAACACAGGGUGUAUAAACACAUGGAACGUAAUAAGGGAGAACAGAAACAGCUUGACAUGGAGCAGAGCGGAACCACGGUGGUCUUAGAAACACAAGCUAACAGUGAACUGGGUUUCCUCCACAUGUAUUGACUUAAGCUUAUGAGACAUUACUGGACUUCAAUCCAUCCACUGACAUAAAAACCCACCGCAGGAUCCUGAGAGAAAUGGGAUACUCUAAACAGACAUUCAUCUAACACACUGCGCUAACACAAAUCUCUCUCCCUCCUCAUUCAAGCUUACAGACACAUACACACAGAGGUACAAAGGUCUCUUUCUGUAACGGGCCGAGAGCUGAAAUUUGAUGUUUAAUAACUGGGAUAUUUUUUAAUGCUUUCUGUGCUGACGGUGCAG
rnacentral:lncRNA from 1 species